AAUUAGUUUCACCUGUGUCUUUUUCUUGUCACACCUGUUUUGAUUACCCUGUGUGUAAUUAGUUUCCACCUCUUCAUGUCAGUUCAUUGAAUCUGUCUCCUGAGGCUUCCUCGUGAUUUUUGUGUUUUCGUUUGGACCUUUUUGGAUUUCGUUUAUGGAUAUUUUAUUGAUGAGAUGGUCCAGUUCUGCAGGAUGACCCACUUCAGGACCUCCAUGGUGGAUGGGGCCAGCAGUGAAGUUGGAGGUUUCCUCAUCAUCACAGUUCACAUUCUUACAAAUAGUCAUCAGCUCCAUGCCCUUCUUCACACUGCAAAGUAACCAUCACUGAGUCAAACAGACUGUUUCAGAGUUCACACACACUUACAGAAUCUGAACACACACUUACUGUGAGCUGUGUUCGAACCUGCCAACAAGGUGGCACAUGGUUAUGAAAGGGUGCUGGAGAAUUUCUGAUGGUGUGAGUCUCUCGGCACCGUCCACCUUUUAGAGUCUUUUUGAGUAGGUCCAUAAAGACCACAAGGUCGUAUAAAUAAGCCUGGAGAUCUUCUCCAGAGAGCCCAUGAGACACUUUGUACUGGAUCAGAAAGAAAGACAUGUUUAGUUUUUAUGUUUUUUUUAAAAAACAUUUUGUGAAGAUUUGACUUAUAGUGUUUUAAGUUAAAACUUGUUUUCAAAAGAGAGAUCCUACCGUCAGCAGGUCACUCAGCUUGGUGAGUGUGUGUGGGUAACCAUUAUAGUUUCUCGCCACAAGACUUGACUAAAGAGAGGAAUUCAUUUUUCAGUAAAUCUCAAACAUGAUGAAAGACUGACACAAAUACAAAUACACACAUUCGACAGAUACACACAUCAAAACUAAAUGAAAUCAAAGAAAUCUUACCGGAAAUACCCAGACAGGCUCUCCUUUGGCUGUGUGUGAACAAGUGUGAAAAUACUUGGUAUACUGUACAUGCCAGAGCACAUGUGUUGAGGAGCCUUUCCAAUAGUGUUAUAGAUGUGCCUUAUCUGUGGAUAACACACAAUGACCUGUCACACUUCUAUACACAUUUUAAAGGUUUUAUAAGAGAAGUUGUGUAAAAAAUUGGAAUGAGUUUUAAAUGGAAUAAUAUUCAAGUGUAACACUGA